UACGUAGGGUGCAAGCGUUAAUCGGAAUUACUGGGCGUAAAGCGUGCGCAGGCGGUUUGUAAGUCAGAUGUGAAAUCCCCGGGCUUAACCUGGGAACUGCAUUGGUGACUGGCGGGCUAGAGUAUGGCAGAGGGGGGUAGAAUUCCACGUGUAGCAGUGAAAUGCGUAGAGAUGUGGAGGAAUACCGAUGGCGAAGGCAGCCCCCUGGGCCAAUACUGACGCUCAUGCACGAAAGCGUGGGGAGCAAACAGG
rnacentral:rRNA from 1 species